AGCUUAUUCUGGGCAAGCGCGAAUAGAAAAUGGAAAGGAAAUCAUGGAAGUCCCCACUACUGAUACGAAUGGGAUAUCAGACAACCAGAAAAUCAAGAAAACGCUAGAAUAUUGGGAUGACAAUCAGAAAUGCGGAAUUUUCAGGUUCGAAAAGAAUGGUAAAACAGAGCACGAACUCCACGUGUGGGAAGAAAAACUAAGGGCUCAGUACGAAAAAACUGGAGAAUACAGAGGCUGCGAAGAAGCGCUGAAAACGUACUGCAAGAAGGACAAAAACCAGCGCUUUCAGGGAAAGUGCAGUAAUAUACAUCUCAUUAAUCGUAGCCAUUCGUCAAAUUACGAACUAAUGAAGAAAAUAACUGGUCAACAUUAAUAAUACUUAAAAGCAAGUGGG